rnacentral:misc_RNA from 1 species
UCUCCGUAGGUGAACCUGCGGAGGGAUCAUUACAAGUGACCCCGGUCUUACCGCCGGGAUGUUCAUAACCCUUUGUUGUCCGACUCUGUUGCCUCCGGGGCGACCCUGCCUUCGGGCGGGGGCUCCGGGUGGACACUUCAAACUCUUGCGUAACUUUGCAGUCUGAGUAAACUUAAUUAAUAAAUUAAAACUUUUAACAACGGAUCUCUUGGUUCUG